rnacentral:rRNA from 1 species
UACAGAGGGUGCGAGCGUUAAUCGGAAUUACUGGGCGUAAAGCGUGCGCAGACGGUUAUUUAAGUCGGGUGUGAAAGCCCCGGGCUCAACCUGGGAAUUGCAUUCGAGACUGAAUAGCUAGGGUACGGUAGAGGGAAGCGGAAUUUCCGGUGUAGCGGUGAAAUGCGUAGAUAUCGGAAGGAACAUCAGUGGCGAAAGCGGCUUCCUGGACCAGUACCGACGUUCAGGCACGAAAGCGUGGGGAGCAAACAGG